rnacentral:rRNA from 1 species
GAUGAACGCUAGCGGCAGGCUUAACACAUGCAAGUCGAACGGCAGCACAGGUAGCAAUACUGGGUGGCGAGUGGCGCACGGGUGCGUAACGCGUAUGCAACCUACCUCUAUCUGGGAGAUAGCCCGAAGAAAUUCGGAUUAAUACCCCAUAAUAUAUGUCUUUCGCAUGUUAGACAUAUUAAAGCUUUGGCGGAUAGAGAUGGGCAUGCGUGACAUUAGCUAGUUGGUAAGGUAACGGCUUACCAAGGCUACGAUGUCUAGGGGGUCUGAGAGGAUUAUCCCCCACACUGGUACUGAGACACGGACCAGACUCCUACGGGAGGCAGCAGUGAGGAAUAUUGGACAAUGGGCGAAAGCCUGAUCCAGCCAUGCCGCGUGCAGGAAGACGGCCCUAUGGGUUGUAAACUGCUUUUAUAUGGGAAUAAACCUCCGAACGUGUUCGGAGCUGAAGGUACCAUACGAAUAAGGAUCGGCUAACU